rnacentral:rRNA from 1 species
UGGGGAAUUUUGGACAAUGGGCGAAAGCCUGAUCCAGCAAUGCCGCGUGUGUGAAGAAGGCCUUCGGGUUGUAAAGCACUUUUGUCCGGAAAGAAAUCCUUGGCUCUAAUACAGUCGGGGGAUGACGGUACCGGAAGAAUAAGCACCGGCUAACUACGUGCCAGCAGCCGCGGUAAUACGUAGGGUGCAAGCGUUAAUCGGAAUUACUGGGCGUAAAGCGUGCGCAGGCGGUUUGCUAAGACCGAUGUGAAAUCCCCGGGCUCAACCUGGGAACUGCAUUGGUGACUGGCAGGCUAGAGUAUGGCAGAGGGGGGUAGAAUUCCACGUGUAGCAGUGAAAUGCGUAGAGAUGUGGAGGAAUACCGAUGGCGAAGGCAGCCCCCUGGGCCAAUACUGACGCUCAUGCACGAAAGCGUGGGGAGCAAACAGGAUUAGAUACCCUGGUAGUCCACGCCCUAAACGAUGUCAACCAGUUGUUGGGGAUUCAUUUCCUUAGUAACGUAGCUAACGCGUGAAGUUGACCGCCUGGGGAGUACGGUCGCAAGAUU